GGGUCAGUAGGUUGGUCGUGCCACCGGUACGUACUGGUCUCACUGACUCCUCCUUCCUGAGGAACCGUAAUGCCAUUAAUUUGGUGUUGCGGGGAAACAGGACUGUUACUUUGAAAAAAUUAGAGUGCUUAAAGCAAGCUAACGCUUGAAUACAUUAGCAUGGAAUAAUGAAAUAGGACGAUCGAUCCUAUUUUGUUGGUUUCUAGGAUUGACGUA
rnacentral:rRNA from 1 species